rnacentral:ncRNA from 2 species
AAAAAGUUUUAUUUUAGCUUAGAAUAUUAAUUAAUAAUUUUAAUAUUUACAUGUAAAUUUUAGUAUGAAUUUUUAUUAAUUUUAAAAAUUAGUAUAUUAAUUUAAUACGCAGUUUAAAGUUUUUUAAAUUUAAGAAAUUAAGAUUAAGAAAUUUAUUUUUAUAUUAACAAAAUUUGUGCCAGCAGUUGCGGUUAUACAAAUAAUGUAAUUAAUAUUUAUUAAUUAAUAAUUAAUUGUUUUAUUUUAAAUUAAUUUUAAAUUUAUUAAGUGAAAUUUUAAAUUUAAUAGAAUUUAUUUAUAAUAUUAUGAGGUUAUUAAAUUUUUAUAUAAACUAGGAUUAGAUACCCUAUUAUUUAAAAUGUAAAAUAUUUUAUUAAAUUAGUAUUAGUUAUUUUCUUGAAAAUUAAAAAAUUUGGCGGUAUUUUAGUCUUUUCAGAGGAACCUGUUCUAUAAUCGAUAAUCCACGAUUAAUUGUACCUAAUUUUAGUUUAUAUAUCGUCGUAGUUUGAAUAUUUUUUAAGAAUUAAAAUAUUCAAAAUUUAUAAUUAUAAAUUAAAUCAGAUCAAGGUAUAGCUUAUAAUUAGGAAGAAAUGGGUUACAAUAAAUAUAUUUAUAAUGAAUUUUAAAUUUAAAAAUUUUUAUGAAGGUGGAUUUGAAAGUAAUAUAAUUAAUUUAAAUUAUAUGAUUAAAGCUCUAAAAUAUGUACAUAUCGCCCGUCGCUUUCGUAUAAAAUGAAAUAAGUCGUAACAAAGUAGAUGUACUGGAAAGUGUAUCUAGAAUGA